UUUUUUUUUUUUUUGCUCAUCUGAAGUUCGGCAUAUUUUAUUGGCAUGUCUUGUAAGGCUAAAGAUAAAACAAUGUGGGGUCUCUUUUAUUGGCAUGUUUCUGUCUUGGUAAGCAUGCAUCAAACAGGCCUAGGUUGGUUAGAACAAGGUGUGGCGGUCAAGAGAUGAUGCUGUAAGAUUAUUAGACUGCUGUUAUUUCUAGUCUGCAUGCAUUUCUGGCCGGACCAGCUGGUUAACUGAUGCGGCACUGUGUCAGCGAAACUGGGGCAAUAUUUUCAAUUUUUCAUUGUUGUAUACUAUUGUUACACAUACGAUUUCAUAGUUUGGCAAGUAUCACAGAAUUUGUGGUUAAGUCAUUUGUGAAUAAUGUUUAGUUUCCCGCUUGGCAUGUUUCUUUACAUCAAUCAAUCAGAUUCACCGCCGUUGGCCAGAGUUGCGCCUAAUUCAUACUGAUGUUAAGGAUAAACUCUCUGUUUUCUAAUAGGUCAGACUGGAUUCUAUGUUCUGUCCAUGCCCUGUUCACUGGCAUUGCCUCUUGAUUCCCCUCUUAAAGUAGAAGAUCCACACUAAGCAUAGCAAGUCCACUAGAGGAGCAAAUGUUGUUUAUCACCGCAUCUCUUCUCAUGUUGACAAGCAAGCCCGAUAUCUAUGAAGGUACACCUUUGUGCUCGGUGGUAAACCUGUUUCUUUUUCAGUUAUGUUCAGCACUGCCUUGAUCAUUUUGUAUUAUUAUUUUAGUAUUUUGCUCUGCAUUAAGAUUUAUGCAUGGUCUGGUUCUUAGAAGAAUAUACUGUUGGUUUGUCGAUGAUUUUUCCUUGUUUGAUUUGACAUUAAUUUAACAAUGAGUACUUAAAUUCUGAAUUCUGGAGUGCAUGGCAGCUAUAUAGAUCCAUUAUAAUUUGGUUUGACCUAUGCCGCAGAAAUAAGCUUCAUGCUUCUCUCAACAUACCAGGCACUGUACAAGGCGGCGACGGCGUACCCGCUCAGUACCUGCAGCCCUUGGUAGGACAGGAAAAGAUGCUGAGCUUCUCGGCCUUGACGACGUCCUCGUGCCUCUCUCUAAAAUGGCAGAUCUGUUUUGUUUCUCUGGUGGGACUGCAGUUCUUCCGAAGCUUUGCUUUUCGAUAUGACAUGUUUAUACUUUAGUUAUGCUUCUCAAGCAGCAUUUGAAUGGUUCUCAGACUACUUUCUCUUGUGAUCGCCUUAGCGAUGAGGAGAUUCGAGUGCAUCUUAAUUAUUGACACCUCAUUCUAUGACAAGCUCGGCAAGAAAGGCGGCAGCUGACGGGAGGAUGUACCGAGGCCUGCGGCGGAGUCAGGUGUGUGUGCUCGGUGGUUUCAGUUUCAUAAUUCCCAUUACACCUAGCCUCUGUUCGCUCAAUCUUUGAGAAUGUUUGUCUGUCAUUGCAUUGUUGAGUACGUGCACCAGGAUGGAAAGCAGCGAGCAACGGUGCAUAGUUCAUGGAAGCCUGCUGUUUCUCCUCGCCAAGGUCCGCGCAGAUAGAGGCGCUCAUGCAGGAAAGAGACGAGGGAGCAGUCAGCUGAACGUUGGCUCCCAUGAAGUUGAUUGAUUGUGCCUCCGCUUUUGUGCCGCUUGCGUUGCUUUUGAACCACUGUCAUUUGUGUCAUUGGUGAUGUAAACUAUAAGGACAUAUAAAUAAUAUCUAUGACUCCUAAGGCUGUUCUCUUUAUCUCCUGUUUUCAUUGUUGUGUACUCCCUCUGUUCCAAAAUAUAAGAACGCUUUUCACACUACACUAGUGUCAAAAACGUUCUUAUAUUAUGGGACGGAGGGAGUACUUGUUACUUUUCGAGUCAGAACCAUGCAAUAACGUGAAAGGGGCGCGCUCAACCUGGCAGCGCCCAGCUUUCUCUGAGGCGGCGUGCCAUGGGCGCGCCCCAACCGCUAAUACAGAUUCAAGUGAACGCCAAUGGAGUAGUAUCCCAUUUAAUUGACUGUGACACAGGUUUCGACUUGUCUGCAUUUUUCAAGGUAUUAUAUUAACUCCUCUCAGCAAGCUUUUAUCGAAGGGCGUAGAAUUAGUGAUAACAUUAUAAUUACGCAAGAAAUCACUCAUUCAUUUGCCCUUAAUCCUUGGAAACAACAGGCCUUCAUGCUUAAAAUUGAUCUUGCUAAAGCUUUCGAUCGUAUUGAAUGGAAUUUUAUCGUUUCAGCUCUCUCACGUAAAGGGUUGCAUGCUCACUUCAUUAAUCUUAUCUAUGCGUGCAUUUCUACUCCAAUUUUUUCUGUCAUCAUUAAUGGCCAAGCAACUCAGAGAUUUAAAAGUGAUAGGGGUAUAAAACAGGGUUGUCCUCUUUCUCCCUAUCUUUUUGUGCUUGCUAUCAAUGAACUUUCUCUUGCUCUCAAUGAUGCUAUGGCUGCUAACAAUCUUGAAGGCAUCAUGCUUGGACCAAAUUGCCCUCCAGUCCAUUCCUUACUUUUUGCAGAUGAUCUACUGGUGUGUGGAAAAGCUAGCUUGCAGGAAGCUCGUACCAUGGCUCAUAUCAUUCACCAUUUUUGCGCUUCUUCAGGUCAGACUCCAAACUGGUCCAAGUCUUCCAUACUUUUCAGUGCUCAGGUUAACCAAUGUGUUGUCUCAGAUAUUAAAAGCAUCUUUCCUGUUCCUGCCAUGGAUGAGAACUUCACCCACCUAGGACACCCUUUGAUUCUCCCUGCCAAGAAUAGAACUAUUGCUUACAAUUUUGUUCUGGAUAAAUUUAUGGCUAAACUUCCUUGUUAUAAGGCUAAUAUGCUUUCUCAUGCGGCUAGAUUGGAGCUCAUUAGAUCUGUUUUUUCGGCCAUUCCGGUUUAUUAUAUGUCUAAUAUUUUGUUCACCAAGAAAUUUAUUGCCAAACUUUCUGCUAUCAUUAGAACCUUUUGGUGGACAGGAAUCAGAGAAGAUAAUCCUACUAGAAGUCUUUGUCUCAGGGCCUGGAAAGACAUCUGCACGUCAAAAAAAGAGGGUGGCUUGGGAAUAAGAAACCUUCAAGCCAUGAAUCAAGGUCUUAUCCUAGCCUCUGCUUGGAGAAUUGCCAACUCUCCCAGUUCACAUCUGCAUCUUGUUCUUAAGUCCAAAUAUUUUUGGGACUCUUCUUUUUGGACUGCCACCUCUAGCGCUCCAAAAUCGGCCUUCUGGUCCUCCAUUCUCAGGAUGCUCCCUAAACUCAAAGCUCACUCCUUCUAUCAGAUCACUCAAGGAAAAAUUUCCAUUUGGAGUACUCCCUGGUGCCCAGCUUGGACUGAUAUCUACAAUCAUCUCAUUAUUCAACCUACAAACUUUACUUGUCCUGCUCAAGUCAAAGAUCUUUGGCUCCAAGGACAGAAAGCCUGGAACAAUGUUCUCAUCUAUUCUCUUUUUCAAGAACCCACAGCCUCUGUUAUUACUCAAACCAAGAUCAUUCAAGAUGAUUGUGAUGAUAUUCUUUGCUGGGAUCUCACGCCUAAUGGUAAGUGUAACACCAAAAGUACUUACAAACUGUGCUUGCAGGACAUUCAAAGCCAACCAAGAAAUCAGCCUACACAGAUUUCUCACCUUGUGAAAGAUUUGCUUAAUCAAGUCUGGAAGCAAAAGCAUAUGGUCCCAAGGGUCCAAACAUUUGCAUGGAGACUUCUUAGAAAAGCUCUUCCUACAGGUUGCAGAGCUAGCCGUUUUUCUAGGCAUAUUACUAAAGCAUGUUGUCGUUGUUCGCAAGAUGAGGAUGAAAUGCAUCUUUUUUUCCUAUGUCCGUUUGUGAGAGCAUCUUGGUUUGCUCAUCCUUGGUAUCUUAGGACAGAUCUUCUUACAGAGAAUCAUCAUUCUAUGCAAAAUAUUAUUUAUGCUUUGCUCAAUAUGAAUCACCCUUAUGCAUCGAUCCCAAACGUUUUCAACUUCUUAUGGUGCAUUUGGAAAUCAAGAAAUGAUUGUCUUUUUGCUAGGAAAUGUACUUUCCCUCAUCAGGUACAUCUUGCUGCACUGGCUAUGGUUGAAUGCAACUCUGUCCAUGAGGUUCCUCCUGACAAUCCUAAUUCUACUCUCCAUGCUCAUAUUAACAGGGACAAUAGUUUGGUGCUACAACAAGGCUGCACCAUUAGGUCUGAUCUUCUAAUCUCAGGAGCCAAAAUAUUCUCUGACGCUUCUUUCAAAUGUUCAAAAAUUCCAGGUUUAUCAAAUGGAGAUGCAACUACGGGCAUUGGAGUUUUUCUCAAUUUUUUGCAGGACAAUAGAAGUAUCCAAGUUCAAAUUCAAGCAUCCGCACCACUAACUUCGUCACCUCUACAAGCAGAAGCACAAGCUCUUCUUCUUGCUGCCAAAGCAUCACAGAUCUUACAAGUCGAGCAGCCGACGUUUCUCAUCGACAAUCUUUCUCUUGCCAAGGCGGCGGCGAACAGGAAUGUAACAGCAGAUUCCACUCCUUGGAUGAUUAGAGAAUCUCUUGCUAAUUUCUACAGGACUACCCAAAAUCUUCAGCCGCAGGUGUUCCAUAUAUCUAGAGAAAUAAAUGGGAUCGCACACAAUGUAGCUCAUCAGGUUCUUAGUCGCUCUUUGGAACCUGUUUAUAGUUGUUUCGGGUCAGCUUACAGGAACAGAAUAUGCCCUGUCAUUUCUACUCUUUCUACCUUAAAUUUACAGGGUUUUGUACUCCAUGUUGGUAUGGUAAAGGAAAAUAUUGAUAAAAUAGCUCUAGCUCUGAAGAGUCUAAACUGACGCAUAUGAAAAAAUGGCUGAGAUUGCACCUUCUAUCUACUCUGGCCCUACCCAAUUUAGUUUUACAAACCAAAGCAUAAGAAAACAGCAGAAGAAAAAUCGAGCUUGUAAAUUUAAAAUAUGGUUUGACACAAGGCAUGUUUCUUAUUUCAAGCUAUGCCACUGAAGAAUAGGGACGCCAAACAGAAUAUAGUCUGCACCAUAUUAUAUUAUGCUCCAGUGCAGCAGAAAAUUUACAUCAGACUAAUUAGGCUCAUUUUUCAAACUCCUGAGCUUGCAACAUUGCACCCCCUGCCAUAAUACAAACUAGACAUACUGAUUAGAACCUACACCUUAUCCAUCGAGUUUCACACUGACAAAAACAACAUCACAUUUAUCAUCCAAUGCUAAGCUAACAUCAUUCAAACACAUGGAAGGUUCUACAACGGGAAAGCAUAGAGAUCAGAACUGCAGUCCACAGAGUAGACAGUAUCAGAAAUAGCAAAAAAUUCAGUCGCUUCCAGGACUAUUACAAGUGGAGCAUGCACACCUAUAGAUUGUGUUGCCAGAGCUCCAAGCAAAUUUCCUGCCAAAAACUCCAUCGUCAUGAUUCUUAUCACUCGUCUCAAAUCAAAACAAAAAACCAUCGGCAAUGGGCUAAACUUUGACAGUGAGGUCUUAUGGUAACCAGCUCACCGCUGCGGUGGAACACCACGAUUCAGAAAUCUAAAGCAGGGACCGGAGAUGAUUACAGCAGAGUGCAGAGUUAAAUCAGGCGUAACUGCUACAUAGCUCCCAACUCAACUAAUCCGAAGAUGAAAUGAGUUCAUCUCUACUUGUCAAACGGGGAUAAAAAAUGGCGAUUAGAACCCACAGCUUAUGAGAGGUUAACAAUCUCGACUUCAGUUUGAAAUUAGCCACUCAAAGAUAUACAAACUACAGCUGGUAUCAUAAAAACUCAGAACAGUGUGUCUAUGAUUUUAAAGUUAGGCACAGAGUAUCAACAGCAGUCAUUGUCCUGAAAAGAUUCAGGCAGUAUGCAUCUUAGGCAUAGCAUUUCAGUAGGCGGUACAAGAUUACUACCUGACAUUACCUCAACCCUUGCAUCUCAUCAGCAAGUUCAGCAAGUGUCUUGGUAAAGCAGUAGGACCAAACAUGUAACAGCACCUGAUGCAUCCAUCAAAAUGUGCGGUAAAAAUGAGAGUUUAAUUAUGCAUGCCCUGUCAUGAUCGAUAUAUGCAUGCAUGUAUACUUUUGGACGAGUUUAAUUAUGCCUCUUGGACACACACACACACACACACACCCACAUGUACUGUUUAAGCUGAACUUGCUGUGACUUGAUUGAAAAUACAUCGGCAUGUUAAAUCUGUAAAAAUGCUAUUACUGGAUACGUCUCAGCACAACAUCGCAUCUGUCAUCGAACAUUAAACAUACAGUAUUCAAACACAUGGUAUUUCUGGUUGCAGGUUCUGAAAUCUACAUACUGUAGCUUCUUCCACAUGGGAAAUCAUAGAUAGAGAUUAGAACACCAAUGCAUGGAGCACACAACAUCAAACUACCAAUAGUUUCAGUCAAAUUCAGGAUUGUUACAAGUGGAGCACCUCUAGGUCAUAAUGCCAGAGCACCAAACAGAUUUCCAGCCAAAAGCUCCAUUGCCACAAUUCCUACCACUACUCCCCUAUCAGAACAGAACACCAUUGAUCAUGCGCAAAAUUAUGCUGGUGAGGCCUGAUGGUCACCGCCAGUGGAACACAGGGAAUCAGAAACUGAAAUCCGGGUUUCAGGAGAUAAUCAGGCAUAACUGCAACACAGCUCCCAACUCAACUAACCCGAAUUUGAAAGGAGUUCAUCUCUAUUUGUCAAGCGGAAAUAAAGAUGGCAAUUAGUACUACCUUCAGCUUAUCAGAAGUUAACAAUCUCGAUUUCAGAUUGGAAUUAGACACUCAAAGAUACAAACAACUGCUGAUAUCCUAAAAAUUCAGAACAGUAUAGCUAUCAUUUUGAAGUUUGGAACUAAAAAUAUCAACAUCAGUCAUUGUUCUAAGAUGGCUCAGGUAGGCAUUACAUUUUUCUUUUUGACGGAAUAGGCGUUAUAUUUUAGCUGGCAAUACAGUAGGCAUAGCCUUCUACCUCACGUGUAAUAGUUCAUUACCUUAGCCUUUGCAUCCCAUCAGCAAGCUUUUUUUGGCGGCGCACCAAAACCAAACAUCUACCGGCAUUCUCCUAGGCUCCUGCUAUGGGCAUUCUCCAUGGUUCCAUUUAACCAAGUGAACUUCCUUUUCUUCUUGCUAGGAGUUGAAAAUUUGGCAUUUGUGAUUGUGACGGUUAAAUGAAAUGGAGAUACUCCUCAGUCACAGACCAGGUGAAUAAGUUCUGUGCACAAGUGCAGCAGAAAAUUUACAUUAGACAAAUUAGCUUCACUUUUCUUUUGUUUGAGAGAGAGUUAGCUGGAAUUUCUGAGUAAAACGUAAGUCUAAUCCCAGUGAAAAAAUCAAGCUAUCUUAACGUCCAAUUUUGAUCAAGUAAACUCAAUAUUUCCGAGAUAGUUAGAGUAUCCACCGAUCCUAUUUGAACCUAAUACCAAUUCAUUCAUAUCCAUACAAAUAUAAAGCACACAUCAACACAAACAUUAAUCCUAUUAAUCUUCAUACAUUAAUCCUGUUUGUCCCUUAAGUUCUUCUCUAUUUCAAUCAUGGAGUUCAGGAAAAGGAAGUUAACUUACCUCAGUUUAAGUCACUGAGCAGGAAAAAAAUUAGCAACAGCAGCCCAGAUCUAUUGACCACUGCAGACGCAACAGAACAGAGGCACCCUGCAUCCCAAGGCUGAGAAAGCAACUUAGAAUCACCAUGCUGGUGGGCACUUCAUCACCCAGGUAUAACUUUUACUAAUUCAUGAAUUAAUAUUUUUGCUUUCACUGAAUACAUACUAUUUCUCAUUUUUUAAUGUUCUUUUCAGAUCGAUAUGGUUGUGGUCUUUCAUGUCUUUUAUAACAUGGAAAAUGGUGGUAUAUGAUAGACAUCGAACGGUAAACUCAGUACUAACUGAGUUCCCUAAAAAAAUAACCUUAGUACUAACUGAAAUAUGAUGGAACGGAAAAUACAAUGAAAUCUAGCAAACUGAACAUGCUAAAUAAACAUUGUCAUGAAAGCAGAUGACACUGAUAUUUUUAGUGGAAACGAAGGACUCUUCUGUUAUUCUUACUGGAAAGUUGGUCCAUUGACCACUCACACAUCCAAUUUCCAUGAUCCCCAACGUUAGUUAGAAACACAAACAUAUCGAUUGGACUUCUCAUUAUCGAAAAUCAGCUCUAAGCAAUGACAACAGCAGCAUAUCGGGGGUUCAGGAAUCAAAUUAUCAAGUACAUCAAGAGUUAGCAAUGACCAAACUAGCAUGUAACAGAGACACUAAAAGAUAGCAGACAUCCAGUUAGGCAUAGAACACCGAGACAGGAGUUACCAGCUUACUACGCUUAGGCUAUUCUUGGUUCAUGUAAACCUGAAAUUAGUCGGCAUGACCCUUUGCAAGCAUUUGCAUAGUCUUCAGCGAGGUGCGGUGCAGCUUCCUUGUGAGGGCAUAUGAACUUCUCCAGAAAUGCCUUCUCGCUCAGGGUGACUAUAUUAUAGAAGUCCCUGUACUGACCUAGCAAUCCAUUUGCCUUAAGGAACUUGAUAACAUAGUACCUGGGACUGAGUCGGCCCUCCAGGCUAAGACUGAGAAUCAUCGGCCGAUGAGCAAUGUACGCCGGUUCCAACCCCACCACGGAGAAGAGGAACUCAGACCUACGCUUCAGAGAUUCCUUCGACCUCCUCAGCAGACUCGGAUACUUACAGACAGCAAUGCUUGCUUCGGCAUCAGACCACCUGAAUGUAUUCUUCAGAUACUCCACUUUGCUGGCGAUCUUCUCCUCGCUGAGAAACGCGACGGCCUGCAGCGCUUGCCUGAGCAUCCCAGAGCCGCGCGGCACACCUAAUCUUUCAGCACAUGCGACCAUCGCCCGAACGCGCUCCGGGUUGGAGGUGAGCAUCCUCGGCACAAAGAUGCACAGCUUGGCAAUAUCACAAUCACCUAGCCCGCACUCCCUCAGGAAGGCAGCAUUGGGCUUGACCACCUUGUCGAGGUUGAAAGACAACAGGCGGGAUGAGAGCUUGAGCAUCCGGAGCAAGUUGUCCAAUGAGCCGAUGAGUGGCAGGUAGUAGUGCAGCUUGGAGACGAUGGCUCUGGUGCGGAAGCCGUCGGGGGUGAGGGAGACGAUGCGGGCGAUGUCAGGACGCGACAGGCCGAGGCCAGUGAGCCCGACGACCUUAGGGCCAGUGUUUUGUCCACUUUGGCGCAUAGGAGCUGCGGGUCUUUGGCGACGACGGCGGCGGCGUCGGCGCCGGAGAGGCCGAGGCCGGAGAGGAAGGCGAGGACGGCGUCGGGCUUGGCGGGGGAUUUGAGGUGGGAGAGCUUCAGGGAGGCCUUGAGGGCUUGGGGCCGGGUGAGGCCGCAGGUGUCGACGAGGUACUCCUCGACGGCGAAGGUCCUAGGGUUCGGGGAAAUGGGGGAUGCGGAGAGCAGGCGAAGCAGAGGGGAGAUGGCAGAGGUGGAGGAAGGAGAGAGGAGGCGGGAAACGACGCACUCUCGGAGCCGGAGCAUGGCGCAGAGCGCGGCGGCGGCCGGCGGCCGGCGGCGGCGGCGACAGAGAUAUUUCCGGUGGGAUUGCAAUUGCUACUGCGGUCUCAUCUCAGUAGUUGCUCUGGUCCGUCUAGUGAGUGACCUGAGGAGUCAAUAUGGGCUGCGUGGGCUGGAGGAGUUUUGAUGGGCUGCGUGGGCAGUCUUCCCCUGAUACAUUAACAGGCUCGACCAGACAGAACUGGCCCUGCAAACAUGCACAAGGAAUGUAAGAUAUGUGUAAAUAGAGUCAGGACAGGAAUACUCACUAUCUGCAUAAAGUGACCUUCCAGGCAUACAUACAAAAAAAUACGAGUAGGUUUUAUGGAAUAAUAAUUUUCUCACUUAUAUGGAAUAUUUCUUUAUCUGAUGAAAUAGUGCUGUGAACAUUUUAUUGGAUAUGCAUAAACAAAUUUCAGUGAAAUAGUAUAUUAGCAAAAGUUUGUCUUUGUCUUUAGCACUAGUUUAAAAAUGCAGACCUUUUCACUAAAGAUACUUUGUUCUCAUGGUAGAUCUUUAUUAAUUUGAGAAAAAUAAAAUGAUUAUAUGGAAUUUUUUUGUGUGACUGAAUAAUAAUCAUAAUUUUAGUGAACAUUUUAUUUGAUAUACAUAAAUAAAAUUAUUGAGAUUAAAUUAAUAUAUCUGAAGAAAGAAAAAUAUUAGACAUUUAUAGCUAUCAAAAACUAGAAAUAGAGAAAAUAAAUAUUUGACAUGCAUGAUGCAUGAUCAUUUUUUAGCACUAUGAGAUGUAUCUCAAGUGGGAAAAAUAUCUACAAACGGGGCAAUUUUACAAAUAAAAAGAUAGAAGUAGCAUAGGCGCUUUAUUUGACAUACGUGUGAACUUUAUUAACAUAUAUGAUUGUUUUUUAUAGAGGGGGUAAUAUAUUUUUAAGAAUAUUUGCUCAAUGCUUUAUUAUAAGGCUUAGUUUUCAUUGUCAUAGUAUAGCUUUUCUUUUUAAUAAAUGUGAUAGAAACCAUACUUUUAUUAUGUAGAAAAUUUUAUGAAAAAUAUAUAAUCUAAAAAUUAUACUCCAUCCGUCCCAAAAUAAGUGUCUCACACACUUAUUUUGGGAUGGAGGGAGUAUAUGGUAAGAACAUCACCAAGGAUGUAGCCAUUUCUCCUCGGAAUGACUACCCAGUAGGCUCCCCCAAACCUAGCCCGUGUGUCCAGACUACCCCAAAUCAAGCACAUAUGUCCAGACUACCAUAGUGCUUGACGUUGGAACAAGAGGAUGCUUUGGUCUCCUUCAUCAGAAUGCUUAGAGACCUCAAGCGCCUCGAGCUUGACUUGCAGCAUGGAUACAGUGACCCUGACAGCCAGCUGGACUCCUUACAUGAACUCUAUCUGCUACACUGGGAGUUCAGAAGAUGAGUUUGGAAAUGUAUGCAUGCAUGCAUAGAUCAGUCUUGCCUCUGCCUUGUCUCGAUCGAUGUAUGCAUGCAUGUAUACUUUUGGACAUGUCUAAUUUUGGCGCACAUGCUGAUUAAGCUCAACUUGAUGCGACUUGAUUGGAAACGCAUCGGCGUCAUUGCUUCGGUGCUGCAGCUGGUGAAAAUGCUGUACUAGAGGCGUUGCUUUUAUUGCAGUUGCAAGUACCAUGGUGACGCUGAAAGGGUGCAACUACCUCAGCAGCAUAUCACACUUAUCAUCGAACAUUUUAAACAUACAACAUUAAAACAUACGAAAUUUCUGGUUUCAAGUUUUGAAAUCUACGUAGUACUGUAGCUUCUGCCGCAACGGGAAAGCAUGUGAUAGAGAUCGGAACAGCAAUGCAUGGUUUGGAGCACACGGUAUCAAAUUUCAGUCGGUUUCAGGAUUGCUACCAGAGCAGCAACCAAAUUUCCAGCCGAAAGCUCCAUCGCCACGAUUCCUACUACUCCUCGCCUAUAUAUCACAAGUUCACAACAGAACACAAUUGAUAAUACGCAAAAUUUAAUUUUGCCGGUGAGGCCUGCCUGAUGGUCAUCGCAACGGUGAAACACAGGGAUUCGGAAAUUUAGAAAAGGCACCGGAGAUGAUUACACAAGUGGAACGCAUUGUUAAUCAAACCUAACUGGUACGUACAUACUUCCAAGUCAACUAAUCCUAAGUUCAAAAUAAUUCAUCUUUGCUUCUCAAGCAGAGAAAAAGAUGGGGAUUAGUACCUGCAGGCUGCUUAUUAUGACCAGGUAACAAUCUCGAUUUUGAUUUUAAAAUAGCCACUAAAAAGAUAUGGACAGCAGCUGUUAUCAAGGGCAACGACGAGGAACGCUGUUACCAGAUCAUAAACAGCGGCAAUCUGGCAACCAAAGCACAAGAACGCCAGCCAAUACAAGGAAGCACUUGCAAACAAUCUGAAUAUACAAAGAAAGAGGGCUCCAAGAUCCACUGCUAGCUCUAUUUUUAUGUUUCCUCUCCUUCCCAACUUCUUUAUCCCUUAGAUUUGUCAUGAAACAUGUUUUCACAUUAUCCAUGUUUUUGUUUCCUAUAACAUAGAAAGGACUGUAGAUGCAUAAUUAACUGCAAUAGAAUAUAACUAAAGGAGAGCUAGCUCUAAGACACAAGCUGAUUACUGGAUGUAAAUCAGUGUGGAGAAAGAACUGAUUUUAUAUGUCAGAUACUGUAUGUGGAUAAUCUUUUAUUUUGCAACAUGUGGAAUUGUGGAUACUUAAAUCGUUGUAGCUGGAAGUUAGAAACUACAUAAACAUAAACGGUUGUGGCACAACAAAAUGCUGGUUUCUGAAAGGCUGACCUCAUACUAACCAGACAGAGGGACAGGUCUGCGCCGAAAGAAAUGUGUAGCCAGAACACAAAACUGAAUUUAUGCAAACUGAAUCAUGCGGGCCUAGUGUAUAAUCAUAAAUUCAGUUCGUGCUUCUAGGAACAGUGAUCAUUGCAAUGUAAUUCUGGGAAACACACCACUCGCCUUAAUAGUUCACCUGAUGCAUCAAUCGAUACAACGACUUCUUCAGACAAAAAAUAAUGUUUAAUAGUCAGAACUGAUCAUUAGAAACCUCAAACCACUUGCAGCGUCCAUCAUUUCAAUAUCAGAAAAAUAUACUCGUGCUUAAUAUGGUAAUUCAGCAUCACCAAAUUAUGCUUCAAUGCAACAGAAAAUUUACAUCCGACUAUUUAAGUUUGUUUUUCUUUUACUUGAGAGAUAGAGUUAGCUGGAACUUCUGAGUAAACAUAAUUCUAAUACCCGUGAAAAAAUCAAGUUAUCUUAACCAUUGGCUUUUCUCAAGUAAAAAAAAAACUCGUUUAAGAAAAGUUUAUGAAUCUUAACAGCAGGUUGAUUAUUUUUUCCUACUGAUACCCAUCCUAUCUGAAUAUAUAGUAUUCAUCACCUAGGUAUAUACUCUGUGUUCACUGAAUAUAUACUAUUUCUCAUUUUCUUGAUCAUCAGCUGCAGUUACCAUUUGCAGCUUUUACACAAUAAAGUAAUUGCUGCGAUUUUCUCCUCUUUUUCAGAUCUACAUGGCUGUGAUCUUUCAUUUGUUCAAGCAGGAAAAAUGUUUUUAUAUAAUGGCAUGGUUACAGUAGUGGGGAUUGUUACCCCUGUUGCUCAUUAAACACAGCCAGAACACAUGUACAUCACUAAUCACAGCAAUUUACCACUCUUUAUGUUAUAGAAUGGACAACCAGUGGAAGGUCUCAGUGUCUAUAAAUCUAAUCUAAAUAUUAAACACAGUUAGUACUAAUUUACAUAGAGUGGAAUCUAAAAGACAAGGAAAUGAAAAUGAACAUGCAUGAUAAAUAAAUUUUGGCAUGGAAGCAGAUCAUACUGAUACAUUUUGGUGGAAAAGGACACCGCAUCAACAUACUGGGGCUCAGGAGCCAAAUUAUCAGUGUCAUACGGAGUUAGCAUUUAGCAAUGCCAAACUGGCAUGUAACAGGCAUACUACAGAAAACAACUAGCAUCAUCUUAGGCAAAGAACAACGAAACAGGAAGUACUAACAGCUUACACGCAGGGUGAUAACUUUGUUGCGCCAUACACUGUAACCAAUUUCCAUAGCCCUUUUUUGUUCAUAUGAAUCUGAAAUUAGUUGGCACUUCCCCUUUGCAAGGGGCUGUUUGGAUGGCGCCCCAGCAUGCCCUGCCAAAUCGUGGGCUGGCCAAAAUUUUGGCGCAGCUUCCAGCCGCCCACAACUUUGCCAACUGUUGGCGAAAAACUGAACUGGAGAAGCCCCCACGCCCUGGGCGAGCCAAUUAUUUGGUGGCCAUCCAAAGGAGCGCCAGUGCUUGGUCAACUACCAAAUUUUUGGCUCGGCAGCUCCAGGCUUCAAUCCAAACAGCCCUAUAGUCUUCAGCAAGGUGCGGUGCAGCUUCGUUGUGAGGGGAUAUGAACUUCUCCAUGAAUACCUUCUCGGUCACCAUGACGGCACUAUAGAAGCUCCAGUGACGGUCUAGCAGUCCACUUUGCUUGAGAAACUUUACAACAUAGUAUCGGGGCCUGACCCGACCCUCCAGGCUAAGACAAACAUUUAUCGGCCGAUGAGCAACAUAUGCAGGUUCCAGCCCCACCUCAGAUAACAGGAACUCGGACCUGCGCUUCAGAGAUUCCUUUGAGAUGGUCAGCACCAUCGGCGCCUUACAGACAGCAAUGCUCACUUCGGCAUCAGACCACCUGAAUGUAUUCUUCAAGAACUCCAAUCUGGCGGCGAUCUUGUCCUCGCUGAGAAACACGACAGCCUGCAGCGCUUGCCUGAGCAUCCCAGAGCCGCGGGGCACGCCUAAUCUUUCAGCACAUGCGACCAUCGCCCCGACGUGCUUUGGGUUAGUGGUGAGCAACCUCGGCACACGUAUACACAGCUUGGCAAUAUCAGAAUCACCUAGCCCGCACUCCCUGAGGAACACAACAUUGGGCUUGACAACCUUGUCGAUGUCCGAAAACAACAGGCAGGAUGAGUGCUUGAGCAGCCGGAGGAAGUUGUGGAAGGAUCCCAAGAGAGGCAGGUAGUAGCGCAGCUUGGAGACGAUGUUUCUGGAGCGGAAGCAUUCGGGGGCGAGUGAGGCGAGGCGGGCGAUGUCAGGACGCGAGAGACCAAGGCCAGUGAGCCCGACGACCUUAGGGUCUAGGGUCCUCCCCACGCUGGCCGCGGCUGGCGCAGAGUAGCCGCAGGUCUUUGGCGACGGGCGACGGCGGCGUCGGCGCCGGAGAGGCCGAGGCCGGAGAGGAAGGCGAGUACGGCAUCGGGAUUGGCGGGCGAUUUGAAGUGGGCGAGCUUGGGGCCGGGUGAGGCCGCAGGUGGCGACUAGGGCUGGACACGAGCCGAGCCGAGCCGAGUUCGGUCCGAGCCUGGAUUUGGCUCGCCAUGAACGAGCCAUGCUCGGCUCGGCUCGCUAGUUGAACGAGCCCACAUCUGGAGGCUCGGCUCGUCUUGUCUAUGGCUCGGUCCAGCCCGAGCAGCUCGUUUUGCCUCUGGAGGCUGGGUGCGUGGGCGUACGGGCGCCUCAGGCGAGGUUGGCUUGACGGCGUUGAGGGGAGCACGACGGAGACGUGCCGGCGUGGCGAGGUCGGGCGUCUGGUGUGUCGAACGCAGGUGGCUAGCCUCCGUAGCAGUUGAUCUUGCUUCCUCUCGUACGUGUGCAUCCAGCCAACUCCAGGAUUCAAUCAACGUGCUUCAAGUUUUGUACUUGUGUCCAAGAAUCAAUCAACAGGCUGGUGAUGCAUGCGUGCGCUGCGGCCGCUGGAUGCGCUCGUGCAUGCCGACGCCGGUGGCAGGAUGCGUCGUGGUGGCAUGCAGGAAAUAGCUUGGCGAGAAGCGUGGGGCAGCGGCGGUGGCGGCGGCGAACCCUAGCGGGAGGAGACAGUGGAGACGACGCGACUCGCUGGGUUGGGCUGGUUGCGCUCCUCUGCUGGGCUUCGUGUGAUUGCGUCGCGUCCUGGGCUUCGGCUUCGGACGAGCCACCGAGCUGGACCGGGCCAAAACAGGCUCGGCUCGGUCGGCCAACGGGCCCAUUUCACGUGGCUCGGCUCGGCCUAUUUAGCUCUCGGGCCGAGCUGAGUCGGGCCGAGCUGGAGCGAGCUCCGAGCCGAGCCCAUUAGCCCGUUCGGACGUCCAGCCCUAGUGGCGACGAGGUACUCCUCCACGGUGAAGGUACUAGUACUAGGGUUGGGGGCCGACACGGUGGCGGAGAGGAGGCAGCCGAGUGGGGAGAAUGCAGCUCUGGAGGGUGAAGCGAGGAGAUGGGAAAGGACGCACACCCGGAGGCGGGGCAUGGCAUGUUCGGCGGCGGUGGCGAUGUUUGUGAUGGAUUGCAACUGCAGCUGUGUCUCGUCGGCUUGGUCUGCAGAGUAGAUGGGUUGUACUAGUUCCUUUGGUUUUUUAGACAAAUUAGUUCCUUUGAUGGUGGUUGUGUCUUGUGUGGGCUCUAUUAGACCAAAGUUUUGUUAGGCCCAUGGAAGAUGUUUUUUGGAAUUUUUUUGUUGUUAUGAGUUUUAGAGACUAAUACUCUGUGUGUUUUUCAAGUUUGCUAUUCAUCAGGCCAUUUGAAUUUUCCGCCGGUCAAAUAUAUGGCGAAGAACGAGGCGGCAGCAAGGCGCUGGCGACACGAUUAGCAAUGGCGUCUUAGCAAGGCUGAGCCAGGCCUGCACUGGAGAUAAACCACGAUCAUCACCGACGUAGGUGUGGUUAAGAGUUGAUGGGGGGGGUAGGAUCAAUAGUUUUGACCGUUCUUUGGAUUAAACGGAGUCCAAGCUCGAGACGUGGACAUCGUGGCCGGCUAUGACGAGGGCUCACCAGGACCUUACUGAAGGCAGGGACGACGCGACUCAUUACAGUGUUGCCAUCGAUGAAGAGGCGAAGAGCCACGAGGUUCGGUGCUUGGAAGAAGAAGGUGCAAUUGGAUCUCGAUAUGGUGACAGAUAAAAAAGGGGUUGAAGAAUUUUUUUUCCAGACACCUAUAAAAUACGCAUUUCGUAUUUAGCGCCUUCUACGCCUCUUAGUGUCUUAUUCGUAUGUGGCGCCCAAACCUCGGUUUCUAUAGGCCGGCCCAUUUAUGCGUCGCUCAUAUUUCUUUCUUCUUCUCAUGAUUACGGUUUUUAAGCUCCCUUGGUCUUAUGGUCCAGUUUUUUGUGCUUCUUUACUUCUGUUUUAGGCUGGUUUUCUAUCCGGUUAUUUUGCUUUCGUUUUUCAUUUUCCCUUUUCUUUCUAUUUUUUCUUUUUUCCACCUUUUCAAAUUAAUGACAUUUUAAUCAUUGUGUUUUUUAAAAUUCAUGAACUUUUUUCGUGUUUGCAUUUUUUUUCUAAAUUCGUUAACAUUUUUAAAUUCAAGAACCUUUUAAAAUCCACAAACAGUUUUUUUCAAAUUCACGAACAUUUUCCAAGUCCUCCAACAUUUUUUUCCAAAUCCCUGAACUUUAUUAAAAUGCAUGAACUAUUUUCGAGUCUGUGAGUUUUUUUUUCAAAUUCAUGAUUUAUUUUCAAAUUCACGAACUUUUACAAAGUCUUGAAAAAAAUAGAUUCACAUUUUUUUUCAAAUUUACGAACUUUUCUCAAAUUCAUGAACAUAUUUUCAAAUUCAUGAUUUUUUCCAAAUUUGCAAACUGUUUUGUAUUCACGAACUUUUCUUUUCAAAUCUGUGAACACUUUUUAAGUUCUUGAAAAGUCAACAGUGAAUAAGUCAAACCAUUGUGGGGCCAAAGGGUUAAACGGUUAACAGUCAAGGGAAGCGAGUGAGCGUUAAUAUAGCAAGCGAGUGAGGGUAUUUUUUUUGCACCAUUCCAAUCGAAGCGUGUGUAUCGGCGCUGGUUGGAGAAAUCACGCAUAAAGCACUGAUUAGGACCUUCCUAUUAAAUAGUCGAUGUUUUUCUGAUGCAAAUGUUGUACUGCUUUGGACGCGAACGGAAUUUGUGUAACAGUUUUGGAUUAAACAAUGACCUAAACAUCUGUCCUCCAUUCCUAAGCCUGGAAGGAUCAUUUUUUGUCAAAAUUGGUGUACAACACACGGUAAAGUUUUCUUUUUUGGUUUUGUUAAAUUUCAGCUGAAUGAUAUUUAACAAUGUCGCAAUGAGGUUCGUGACUGUUGGAUUUAGCCAUGUCAAGAUUCAUGUCGCAAUGCAUGGGAGGCACGCCUAUACCUCGCUUAACGUGAGUUGGAGUGACAGCUCGCAAAUGGAUUUUCUCCUGUUUAUUUUUUUGUUUAUAUUUGUGUUUUUACUCUAUAAUUAUUUAAAAAAUAUUGUAAAUAUAUAUAUCAAAUAAUAAAAAACAAAUACAAAAUUAAAAUCGUGAAUUUGAAAAAACGUUGCCACAAUGUAAAACAAUUGUUAGUUUAAUUCAAAAAUAAUGUUAAUAGCAUAUUAAACAAAAUCUUUGUGACAUUUAAACUUUUUUCCUUGUUGCAGAAAAUAUAUGUGACGUCAUUAAAAAUGUUAAACAUACAUCAAAUAAAUGUUUCAAAUGUAUCUGCAAAAUGUUGAUAGCAUACAAAAAAAUGGUUGUGACAUUUAAAAAAAUUCACGCGUUUCAAAAGUAUCUAGGUGACAAUAUAAAAAUGUAAACAUGCAUUUGGAAAAUGUUAAAUGGAUGUAAUUUUUAUUAUUUCUAGUGUUUGUUGUACUGCCAUGAUAGAAGAUGAAUAGAUUGAAAGUUUUCUCGCAAAAAUAGUAAUAAUAAAUGUUUCAGAUGCAUAUGAAAAUUAUACAAAGUUUAUGAAAAAAGUAGACAUCAAACAUGAGAACAUCAAACAUGUUUCAGAUGCAGCUUGCAAGCAUAUAGGCACAAAUAAAGCUAAACCGCUGAUGAGAAGCUACUAGGAAAGUAAUGUUUGUGAAACCGAUGAAGGAAUCACACACACAUAUGUCUACUAUUUUGUUCUAAGAAAACCGAACAAAAUAACUUUCCUGUCAAACUUUCUGCUGCACUCCAGUGCAAAUUGGGCUCAUUUUUCAACCUCCUGAGCUUGCAACUCUGCUCUCCCUGCCCUAAUACAGACUAGAUCUACUGAUUGAUCGAGUUUCACAUUGACAGAAACAACAUCACAUUUAUCAUCAAAUGCUAAGCUAACAUCAUUCAAGCGCAUGGAAGCAUCUACAACGGGAAAGCAUAGAGAUCAGAACUGCAGCCCACAGAGCAGACAAUGUCAGAAAUAGCAACAAUUUCAGUCGCUUCCAAGACUAUUACCACUGGGGCAUGCACAUGUAUAGGUCGUGCUGCCAGAGCUCCAAGCAAAUUUCCUGCCAAAAACUCCAUCGUCAUGAUUCUUAUCACUCGUCUCAAAUCAAAACAAAAAACCAUCGGCAAUGGGCUAAACUUUGACAGUGAGGUCUUAUGGUAACCAGCUCACCGCUGCGGUGGAACACCGCGAUUCAGAAAUCUAAAGCAGGGACCGGAGAUGAUUACAGCAGAGUGCAGAGUUAAAUCAGGCGUAACCGCUACAUAGCUCCCAACUCAACUAAUCCGAAGAUGAAAUGAGUUCAUCUCUACUUGUCAAACGGAGAUAAAAAAACGGUGAUUAGUACCUGCGGCUUAUGAGAAUUUAACAAUCUCGACUUCAGUUUGAAAUUAGCCACUCAAAGAUAAACAAACAACAGCUGGUAUCAUAAAAACACAGAACAGUGUGCCUAUGAUUUUGCGGUUAGGCACGGAGUAUCAACAGCAGCCAUUUUCCUGAAAUGAUUCAAGCAGUAUGCGUCUUAGGCAUAACAUUUCAGUAGGCGGUACAAGAUUACUACCUGACAUUACCUCAACCCUUGCAUCUCAUCAGCAAGUUCAGCAAGUGUCUUGGUAAAGCACUAAAACCGAACAUGUAACAACAUCUGAUGCAUCCAUCAAAGUGUGCGGUAAAGAAUGACUGUUUAAUUAUGCAUGCCCUGUCAUGAUCGAUAUAUGCAUGCAUGUAUACUUUUGGACGUGUUUAAUUAUGGCUCUUGGACACACACACACACACACACAAACACGUACCGAUUAAGCUGAACUUGCUGUGACUUGAUUGAAAACGCAUCGGCAUGUUAAAUCUGUAAAAAUGCUAUUACUGGAUACGUCUCAGCACAACAUCGCAUCUAUCAUCGAACAUUAAACAUACAGUAUUCAAACACAUGGUAUUUCUGGUUGCAGGUUCUGAAAUCUACAUACUGUAGCUUCUUCCACAUGGGAAAUCAUAGAUAGAGAUUAGAACACCAAUGCAUGGAGCACACAGCAUCAAACUACCAAUAGUUUCAGUCAAAUUCAGGAUUGUUACAAGUGGAGCACCUCUAGGUCAUAAUGCCAGAGCACCAAACAGAUUUCCAGCCAAAAGCUCCAUUGCCACAAUUCCUACUACUACUCCCCUAUCAGAACAGAACACCAUUGAUCAUGCGCAAAAUUAUGUUGGUGAGACCUGAUGGUCACCGCCAGUGGAACACAGGGAAUCAGAAACUGAAAUACGGGUUUCAGGAGAUAAUCAGGCAUAACUGCAACACGGCUGCCAACUCAACUAACCCGAAUUUGAAAGGAGUUCAUCUCUAUUUGUCAAACGGAAAUAAAGAUGGCAAUUAGUACUACCUUCAGCUUAUCAGCAGUUAACAAUCUCGAUUUCAACUUGGAAUUAGACACUCAAAGAUACAAACAACUGCUGAUAUCCUAAAAAUUCAGAACAGUAUAGCCAUCAUUUUGAAGUUUGGAACUAAAAAUAUCAACACAAGUCACGGUUCUAAGAUGGUUCAGGUAGGCAUUACAUUUUUCUUUUUGAUGGAAUAGGCAUUAUAUUUUAGCUGGCAGUACAGUAGGCGUAGCCUUCUACCUCACGUGUACAGUUGAUAGUUCAUUACCUUAGCCUUUGCAUCCCAUCAGCAAGCUUUUUUUGGUGGUGCACCAAAACCAAACACCUACCGGCAUCCUCCUAGGCUCCUGGUACAUCAAUUUCAAGGUAGGCGGACCAUGGUUCUAUUUAACCAAGUGAACUUCCUUUUCUUCUUGCUAGUAGUUGAAAAUUUGGCAUUUCUUCUUGCUCCGGGUUGGUGGUCAGCAUCCUCGGCCCAUGGAUGCACAGCUUGGCAAUAUCACAAUCACCUAGCCCGCACUCCCUCAGGAAGGCAGCAUUGGGCUUGACCACCUUGUCGAGGUCGAAAGACAACAGGCGGGGUGAGCGCUUGAGCAGCCGGAGGAAGUUGUGGAAGGAGCCGAAGAGGACUUUUUUGUUCAUGUAAAUCUGAAAUUAGUAGGCACUUCCCCUUUGCAAGCUGCUGCAUAAUCUUCAGCAAGGUGUGGUGCGGCUUCCUUGUGAGGGCAUAUGAGCUUCUCCACAAAUACCUUCUCAGUCAUCUUGACCGCAGAAUAUAAGCUCAAGUCACGGUCUAGCAGUCCAUUUUGCUUGAGAAACUUGAUAACAUAGUACCGAGGUCUGAGUCGGCCCUCCAUACUAUAUGAAAGUAUUUCCGAUCGAUGAGCAAUGUACAUGGGUUCCAGCCCCACCUUAGAGCACAGGAACUCGGACCUGCGCUUCAGAGGUCCCUUUGACUUCCUCAGCACACCCGGAUACUUGCGCACAGCAAUGCUCACUUGGGCAUCAGACCACCUGAAAGUAUUCUUCAAGUAGUCCAAUUUGGCGGCAACCUUCUCCUCGCUGAGAAACGCGACAGCCUGCAGCGCUUGCCUGAGCAUCCCAGAGCCACGGGGCACACCCAAUCUUUCGGCACGUGCCACCAUUGCCCGGACGCGCUCCGGGUUGGUGAUGAGCAUCCUCGGCUCCCGGAUACACAGCUUGGCAAUAUCACAAUCACCUAGCCCGCACUCCCUCAGGAAGGCAACAUUGGGCUUGACCAACUUAUCGAUGUCCGACGACAGAAGGUGGGAUGAGCGCUUGAGCAGCCGGAGGAAGUUGUGGGAGGAGCCGAAGAGGGGCAGGUAGUACUGCAGCUUGGAGACUAUGGCUCUACGGCGGAAGCGGUCGGGGGUGAGGGAGACGAGGCGGGCGAUGUCAGGACGCGAGAGACCUAGGCCAGUUAGCCCGACGACCUUAGGGGCCAGGGUUCUCCCCACGCUGGCGCAGAGGAAGAGCGGAUCUUUGGCGACGACGUCGGCGCCGGAGAGGCCGAGGCCGGCGAGGAAGGCGAGGACGGCGUCGGGGUUGGUGGGGGACUUGAGGUGGGAGAGCUUGGUGGAGGCCUUGAGGGCUUGGGGUCGGGUGAGGCCGCAGGUGGCGACGAGGUAGUCCUCGACGGCGAAGCCACUGGGAUUUGGGGAAAUGUGGGGCGCGGCGGCGGAGAGGAGAUGGCAUAGGUGGGGGUGGAAGGUGAAGAGAGGAGACGGGAAACGAAGCACUCUCGGAGGCGGAGCAUGGCGCAGCCGGCGGCGGCGAGAACAACGGCGCCGGCGGCGAUGCAGAGAGAGAUCUCCGAUGGAUUGCAAUGGCAGCUCUGCCUCUCCGAUGGAUCUCUAAUGGACUUUUUUCUCAGUGUGCGUGGGCUCUAAUGGACUUUUUUCUCUGUGUGCGUGGGCUCUAAUGGACUUUUUUCUCUGUGUGCGUGGGCUCUAAUGGACUUUUUUCUCUGUGUGCGUGGGCUCUAAUGGACUUUUUUCUCUGUGUGCGUGGGCUCUAAUGGACCGGGUUUUUGAUACACCUACCCAAUAACAGAUGUUCAUUUUUCUCAUCCAUUUUUCUUCCCUUGUUCUAAGAAAAAACUAUUUCCUUCCCUUUUCAUGGUUAUAUUUUUAUUUACUUUCCCUACUAUGUCUCCUCCACAUUUUUUUAAUUAUUCGUAUUCGUAUCAUAUAUUUUGUUGCAUAUUUUGUUUUAUUUUUAUGCAUUUUCAUUUUUGAAUUUUCACUAUAAACAAACGUGUGGUACUACCUAUUUCCUUUGACGCUGCUUAUAAAAAUGGAGACAAACUUGACAUCUAAUGGAAAUUCUGUUUUCAAAAUUGUUAUUUUAUUAAUUUCAAAAAAUAUGUUUCAUGGAAUAGUUUACUCAUUUAUAUAUAAUUUUUUAACCUGAUGAAAUAAUCUUUACAACCAUACUGAUACACAUUAAAAAAAAUCAUAGGCAAUGAAUAUAUCUUAAGAAAUACUAUUAUAUUUUUUAUUCUGCAUUAAUUCUAAAGAUAUACAAUACUUUUCACUAACAGAUACUUUCUUCUUGGUAUUAACUUUUUAUUAAUGUGAGAAAAAAGGGUUGUAUGAAUUUAUUGUUGUAUGAUGAUAUAAUUAUUAGAGUGUGGUGAAGAUUGUACUGUUUGAUAUACAUAAGGAAAAUAAUAGAUAAUGCCAUAGACUAUUGUUUUGACGACUCCGAACGAUGCGCUUGAGCCGUCAAAUCACCACACAGAGCCGACUAGUUAGAAUGCUUGACAGGGAGGGCAUUGUAUGACGGAACAUCCGAAAUCAGCUUACAGAUGGGGAACUGAGGCCCUGCUUCAGCAGUUCAGAGCAGCGCUCGCGGAUGGUCAGGCAUCACUGGGUCAAGCAAAAAUCAGAAGGAUCCACUUCUAGUUUUCUUAGACCAUCAAUACAGUAAGUCUGAACUCUGGUCAGGGCCAGCGGUUGGUGGUUCGACUUGAGCAGCUUCUGCAGGGUGAUGUCAUAGAUCAUGCAUGGGUUAGCUAACUGAAGAUGGAAAGAGUGCAAUACUGUCUCCGUUGGCCCUUCACUGAACACUGACACUUCCCAAAUCACUCUUAAAAUCUGAACGUGUGAAAAAAUGGAACUAAAAACACAUAAUUCGUUCAACCAUGAUUUAGAAAAAAAUAUAAUCAGACAAAUCAUAAAACCAUUCAGCCAUGUUGUGAUUUGCUCGUUAGUAUGUUCAAGAUGAAACCUGCAAUCUGGGGAAGAAAAGAUGGAAUGGGAGACAUAUGACAAACCAACGCUAUGAUCCAGAGGAAUUAAGGAGCACCAAAUCACUGAAAUGACCAUAGGAAGCAUCACCAUCGACCAAGGCCACACUACUCUGUGUAUCAGUGUUCCAUCUAAUGGAGAAUGAAACACCGCUAGUCAACAGAUGGUGUUACUAACAACAUCUCACAAGAAAGGGACGAUGGCCAAAACAUGUCACCUGAACAGACUGUAUCAUAUCCCAUCCAACCAGUCCACAAUUAACCAGGAUUCAGAUUCAAGUGAACGCUAAUGGAGUAGUAUCCGGUAAUUGCCUUUGGCUCCUAGGUGCAUAUGCACCCAUUGUCAAAAUACACAUUUCGAAAAGUUGAAAAAUUCGGAACAAAAAUCCCGCGUGUAUAUCCGGACAUUUUAUGUGCGUGCACAAGGUUUCAGUGAAAAACGAGGUUUUUUGUGGCUUGUGUAAAAAAGACAAUUUCUGAUGCUUCAUUCUAACUAUUCACAAGGCAUUUCUUUAUCUUUUUUACACAAGCCACAAAAACAUCGUUUUUCGCCAAAACCUUGUGAACGCACAUAAAAUGUCCGGAUAUACACGUGGGAUUUUUGUUCCGAAUUUUUCAACUUUUCAAAAUGUGUAUUUCGACAAUGGGUGCAUAUGCACCUAGGAGCCAAAACGCCGCUCUCGUUAGCAAAGGAAUUUUGUUCUAAGAAAACCAAACACUACAGAGGAGGCUAGAUCAACAUCAUAUAAAUAAAAUAUAAAGGAAUACAUGAAGCAUAAUUACUUCAAUAUCCCAGCUUAGCUUACAAAAGGCACCACAUUUGUUGCACGUUUCCCAAUAAUCGCAUGAAGGGCUUUGCCAUAUCUUGAUCCAAGGAAAACAACAAAAUAACUGUUCUGUCAAACUCCAGCAAUCACUGAUCUACUUUAAGAUAAGAAAGUGACUUGUCAACAGAAUUAGUUAAGCCCAGUCUCAAUGUUCUGAAAACAUAAGAGCUCAUGUCAUACAUAUGCUGGUAUGGUAAAGGAAAAUAGUGAUAAAAUAGCUCUACCUCUGAAGAGUCUAAAUUAAAGCAUAUGAAAAAAUGGCCGAGAUUGCACCUUCUAUCUACUCUGGCCCCAAGUCCCAAUUUAGUUUUACAAGCCAAUGCAUGAGAAAACAACAGAAGAAAAUCGAGCUUGCAAAUUUAAAAUAUGGCUUGACACGAGGCAUGUUUGCUUAUUUCAAGAUAUCGAACAACCUUCAUUUGAGUUAAGGCUGAUAACUUUUAAGCUAUGCCACUGAAGAAUAGGGACGCCGAACAGAAUAUAGUCUGCAGCAUAUUAUAUUAUGCUCCAGUGCAGCAGAAAAUUUACAUCAGACUAAUUAGGCUCAUUUUUCAAACUCCUAAUCUUGCAACUUUGCACCCCCUGCCCUAAUACAGACUAGACGUACACCCUAUCCAUGAAUCCAUCGAGUUUCACACUGACAGAAACAACAUCACAUUUAUCAUCAAAUGCUAAGCUAACAUCGUUCAAACACACGGAAGCUUCUUCAACGGGAAAGCAUAGAGAUCAGAACCGCAGCCCACAGAGCAGACACUAUCAGAAAUAGCAACAGUUUCAGUCCCCUCCAGGACUAUUACCAGUGGGGCAUACACACUUAUAGGUCGUGUUGCCAGAGCUCCAAUCAAAUUUCCUGCCAAAAACUCCAUCACGAUUCUUAUCACUCGUCUCAAAUCAGAACAAACAACCAUCGACAAUGGGCUAAACUUUGACAGUGAGGUCUUAUGGUAACCGGCUCACUGCUGCAGUGGAACACAGUGAUUCAGAAAUCUAAAGCAGGGCCCGGAGAUGAUUACAGCAGAGCGCAUAGUUAAAUCAGGCAUAACUGGUACAUAGCUCCCAACUCAAUUAAUCCGAAGAUGAAAAGAGUUCAUCUCUACUUGUCAAACGGGGAUAAAAAAUGGCGAUUAGUACCCGCGGCUUAUGAGAAGUUAACAAUCUCGACUUCAGUUUGAAAUUAGCCACUCAAAGAUAAACAAACAACAGCUGGUAUCAUAAAAACUCAGAACAGUGUGCCUAUGAUUUUGCGGUUAGGCACAGAGUAUCAACAGCAGCCAUUUUCCUGAAAUGAUUCAGGCAGUAUGCGUCUUAGGCAUAACAUUUCAGUAGGCGGUACAAGAUUACUACCUGACAUUACCUCAACCCUUGCAUCUCAUCAGCAAGUUCGGCAAGUGUCUUGGUAAAGCACUAAAACCGAACAUGUAACAACACCUGAUGCAUCCAUCAAAAUGUGCAGUAAAAAUGACAGUUUAAUUAUGCAUGCCCUGUCAUGAUCGAUAUAUGCAUGCAUGUAUACUUUUGGACGAGUUUAAUUAUGCCUCUUGGACACACACACACACACACACACACACACAUGUACUGUUUAAGCUGAACUUGCUGUGACUUGAUUGAAAAUACAUCGGCAUGUUAAUCUGUAAAAAUGCUAUUACUGGAUACGACUCACGGACUCAGCACAACAUCACAUUUAUCAUCAGCACAACAUCACAUUAAACAUACAGCAUUCAAACACAUGGAAUUUCUGGUUGCAAGUUCUGAAAUCUACAUACUGUAGCUUCUUCCACAUGGGGAAUCAUAGAUAGAGAUCAGAACACCACAGCAUCAAAGUACCAACAAUUUAACUGCAACACAACUCCCAACUCAACUAACCCGAAUUUGAAAGGAGUUCAUCUCUAUUUGAAAGGAGUUCAUCUCUAUUUGCUAAACGGAAAUAAAGAUGGCAAUUAGUACUACCUUCAGCUUAUCAGCAGUUAACAAUCUCGAUUUCAACUUGCAAUUAGACACUCAAAGAUACAAACAACCGCUGAUAUCCUAAAAAUUCAGAACAGUAUAGCUAUCAUUUUGAAGUUUGGAACUGAAAAUAUCAACAUCAGUCAUUGUUCUAAGAUGGUUCAGGUAGGCAUUGCAUUUUUCUUUUUGACGGAAUAGGCGUUAUAUUUUAGCUGGCAAUACAGUAGGCAUAGCCUUCUACCUCACGUGUAAUAGUUCAUUACCUUAGCCUUUGCAUCCCAUCAGCAAGCUUUUUUUGGCGGCGCACCAAAACCAAACAUCUACCGGCAUUCUCCUAGGCUCCUGCUAUGGGCAUUCUCCAUGGUGCUAUUUAACCAAGUGAACUUCCUUUUCUUCUUGCUAGGAGUUGAAAAUUUGGCAUUUGUGAUUGUGACGGUUAAAUGAAAUGGAGAUACUCCUCAGUCACAGACCAGGUGAAUAAGUUCUGUGCACAAGUGCAGCAGAAAAUUUACAUUAGACAAAUUAGCUUCACUUUUCUUUUGUUUGAGAGAGAGUUAGCUGGAAUUUCUGAGUAAAACGUAAGUCUAAUCCCAGUGAAAAAAUCAAGCUAUCUUAACGUCCAAUUUUGAUCAAGUAAACUCAAUAUUUCCGAGAUAGUUAGAGUAUCCACCGAUCCUAUUUGAACCUAAUACCAAUUCAUUCAUAUCCAUACAAAUAUAAAGCACACAUCAACAGAAGCAUUAAUCCUAUUAAUCUUCAUACAUUAAUCCUAUUUGUCCCUUAAGUUCUUCUCUAUUUCAAUCACAAAGUUUAGGAAAAGGAAGUUAACUUACCUCAGUUUAAGUCACUGAGCAGGAAGAAAAUAGCAACAUCAGCCCAGAUCUGAUGACCACUGCAGACGCAACAGAACAGAGGCACCCUGCAUCCCACGGCUGAGAAAGCAACAUAGAAUCACCACGCUGGUGGGCACUUGAUCACCCAGGUAUAAAUUUUACUAAUUCAUGAAUUAAUAUUUUUGAUUUCACUGAAUACAUACUAUUUCUCAUUUUUUAUGUUCUUUUCAGAUCAAUAUGGUUGUGAUCUUUCAUGUCUUUUAUAACAGGGAAAAUGGUUAUAUAUGAUAGACAUCGAACGGUAAACUCAGUACUAACUGAGUUCCGUAAAAAAUAACCUUAGUACUAACUGAAAUAUGAUGGAACAGAAAAUACAAUGAAAUCUAAACAGAACAUGCUAGAUAAACAUUGUCAUGAAAGCAGAUGAUACUGAUAUUUUUAGUGGAAAACGAAGGACUCUUCUGUUAUUUUUACUGAAAAGUUGGUCCAUUGACCACUCACACAUCAAUCUACAUGAUUCCCACCGUUAGUUAGAAACACAAACAUAUCCAUGGGACUUUUCAUUAUCAAAAAUCAACUCUAAGGAAUGACAACCACCUGCAUAUCAGGGGUUCAGGAAUCAAAUUAUGAGUUACAUCAAGAGUUAGCAAUGACAAAACUAGCAUGUAACAGAGACACUAAAAGAUAGCCAACAUCCGGUUAGGCAUAGAACACCUGAGACAGGAGUUACCAGCUUACUAUGCUUAGGAUAUUCUUUGGUUCAUGUAAAUCUGAAAUUAGUUGGCACUUCCCCUUUGCAAGCUGCUGCAUAAUCUUGAGCGAGGUGUGGUGCGGCUUCCUUGUGAGGGCAUAUGA
rnacentral:lncRNA from 1 species